rnacentral:rRNA from 1 species
GAAUGAUGAGGAGCUUGCUCCUCUGAUUUAGCGGCGGACGGGUGAGUAACACGUGGGUAAUCUGCCUGUAAGACGGGGAUAACUCCGGGAAACCGGGGCUAAUACCGGAUAAUAAGAGAAGAAGCAUUUCUUCUUUUUGAAAGUCGGUUUCGGCUGACACUUACAGAUGAGCCCGCGGCGCAUUAGCUAGUUGGUGAGGUAACGGCUCACCAAGGCGACGAUGCGUAGCCGACCUGAGAGGGUGAUCGGCCACACUGGGACUGAGACACGGCCCAGACUCCUACGGGAGGCAGCAGUAGGGAAUCUUCGGCAAUGGGCGAAAGCCUGACCGAGCAACGCCGCGUGAGCGAUGAAGGCCUUCGGGUCGUAAAGCUCUGUUGUUAGAGAAGAACAAGUACGAGAGUAACUGCUCGUACCUUGACGGUACCUAACCAGAAAGCCACGGCUAACUACGUGCCAGCAGCCGCGGUAAUACGUAGGUGGCAAGCGUUAUCCGGAAUUAUUGGGCGUAAAGCGCGCGCAGGCGGUCUCUUAAGUCUGAUGUGAAAGCCCACGGCUCAACCGUGGAGGGUCAUUGGAAACUGGGAGACUUGAGUGCAGGAGAGAAAAGUGGAAUUCCACGUGUAGCGGUGAAAUGCGU